CAUAAUCAUUAGAUUUUUAAUUAAAAUCUUGUUUGAAUGGUUUAAUGAAAUAAAAACUUUUUUAUUUAAAAAAUUGAAUUUUAUUUUUUAGUUAAAAUGCUAAAAUAUUAUAAAGGGACGAGAAGACCCUAUAGAAUUUUAUAAAUAUUUAUAUUUUUAUUUAUAAUUAAAUUUAAUUAAAUUAUAAUUUUUAUUUUGUUGGGGCGAUAAUUAAAUUUAAUUAACUUUUUAUUUUUAAUCAUUUAUAUAUGUUUUUUUGAUCUUUUUUUAUUGAUUAUAAAAUUAAAUUACCUUAGGGAUAACAGCAUAAUUUUAUUAAAAAGGUUUUAUUUUUGAUAAUGUUUAUGACCUCGAUGUUGGAUUAAAUAAAAUUUUUAUAUAAAAAUGUAUAAAAAAUUAGUCUGUUCGACUAUUAAUUAUUUACAUGAUCUGAGUUCAAACCGGUGUAAGCCAGGUCGGUUUCUAUCU
rnacentral:rRNA from 1 species